rnacentral:rRNA from 1 species
CACGUAGGGCGCGAGCGUUGUCCGGAAUUAUUGGGCGUAAAGAGCUCGUAGGCGGCCUGUUGCGUCCGCUGUGAAAGCCCGGGGCUUAACCCCGGGUCGGCAGUGGAUACGGGCAGGCUAGAGGUAGGUAGGGGAGAAUGGAAUUCCCGGUGUAGCGGUGAAAUGCGCAGAUAUCGGGGGGGAACACCGGUGGCGAAGGCGGUUCUCUGGGCCUUACCUGACGCUGAGGAGCGAAAGCGUGGGGAGCGAACAGG